GCCAGACUCUCGCAGAAGCCCUCGAUGGCAAACUUCGACGCGGAGUACACGUCAUUAAACGCCACACCUGUGGAGACCGACACUGAGCGGUGUUUCUCACGGAUAACUAAAGCAGACUGGCGAGUGAGUCCGGGUUCGGCAGUGUGUGAGGAUGAACCCGUUCCUGUUUCUGCUGACGGAUCAGCACUGGAUGAACUCAAGUUCAAACUGUUUUAAUGUUCCCGGUUCGGGUCUUACCGUGGUAGCGCUGGUUGUCGUCUCUCGCGAGGUGCACGGCGAUGCCCAUCCCGAUCCCGGACGAGCAGCCGGUGAUCAGCACCACUCGCUGGCCCUCCGUCGCCAUGGUUUCCGCGGGGCUUCGAAAGAGCAGAAGAUCUCAUGAGAUCAGCAGUGCAGGAGACCGCGAGGGCGCGCAGUCACGGGGACGCGCGCGCGGGAUUCUGUCAGCUCAGCUCACAGCCCGAAGUUUUCCUCUUGCUGGUCGGAUGCUUCACUUGCUUUGGAUGAACGCGUCUGCUAAAGUAAAGGUGUCCUGUUUCCCAUCAGUGUCAACUACACGACCGACUCUAGCGCCACCCAGCGGUCCAAUUACUGUACUGCCCGUAUCUAAUAUUACAUAAUGUUUUCAGUUUGAAUUAUAGGACUAUUGCAGUGUUUAUUCUGAACGAUUUAUCAGUGCACAUC